rnacentral:rRNA from 1 species
GAUGAACGCUAGCUACAGGCUUAACACAUGCAAGUCGAGGGACCGGAGCACGUGUGUGUAACACGUAACCAACCUGCCCUUUACUCGGGGAUAGCCUUUCGAAAGAAAGAUUAAUACCCGAUAUAAAGGAUGGGGAUUGGUUCCAUUAGGUUGUUGGUGAGGUAACGGCUAACCAAGCCUUCGAUGGAUAGGGGUUCGGAGAGGAAGGUCCCCCACAUUGGAACUGAGACCCGGUCCAAACUCGUACGGGUGGCAGCAGUGAGGAGUAUUAGGCAAUGGGCGCUAGCCUGAACCAGCCAAGUAGCGUGAAGAAUGAAGGCUUAUGGGUCGUAAACUUCUUUUAUAUAAGAAUAUGUAUUAUAUGAAUAAGGAUCGGCUAACUCCGUGCCAGCAGCCGCGGUAAUAC